ACGGUGAAUACGUUCCCGGGCCUUGUACACACCGCCCGUCACACCAUGGGAGUGGGUUGCAAAAGAAGUAGGUAGCUUAACCUUCGGGAGGGCGCUUACAACUUUGUGAUUCAUGACUGGGGUGAAGUCGUAACAAGGUAACCGUAGGGGAACCUGCGGUUGGAUCACCUCCUUACCUUAAAGAA
rnacentral:rRNA from 1 species